rnacentral:lncRNA from 1 species
CGGUCUAUAAGGUGGGUAUAAGGUUGUUGCCUAUAAAAUGGCAACUUAAUGGGUGUCCACUCUCACCCACCGCUUGCUUGACUGGUGGAGGCUCGUUAGCCGAACGGGUAGGACAAUGACUGUAAAUUCUCAUUAAAAGUAUAAUGAUUAUUAUAAAGUAACAAAAAGUUUUAUUUAAUUCCCAAUCUUAGUUACUUUAGGAAAAAUGUGAAUUUGCUGCUAGCCCAUGGAAUUCACACUUUGUACCUUACCAAGUCGUUGGUGGAGCAUGUGUGGUUAACCGGCACACUAACUUGGACUAGUAAGGAUCAAGAAGGGUGACUUAAUGUUUGUCAUAGAUCAAUGGAGCGUGUGUGGUUAACCGGCACAUUGAUUGGGUGAUAAUAUUAAGGGUACCAAGUGAAUUGGUAUGGUUAUUCACACCUUGUUUUGUGAUCCUUGGCAUCCCAGUCACAAAAUUUGAGAGGGCACACUCGAGAUUGAAACAUGCAAUUGAAAAGUUCAAUGAAUCUCAAAAGAUCUAGGAAUUUCAAAUCCAAUUAAAACUUAAUAAAUUAUUUCGUUUUUCAUGGUGGAAAUUGGUGAAUCGUCAUUCGCCUACCUUCAAGUAUUUUAUAGCUUGGAUUACGGCAUCCCUCUUCCAAAUUAUAAAAUAUUGUGUUGGGUCCUAGCCUUAAUAUUUCAUAUUGGGUGUUAUAUUAAGGACUUUGAAUCAACUAACUUGAUUUUCUCCCAUUAUAGAUGUCUGGUUCAGACAACUAUGAUCUUCCCAAAUCUCUUGAAGAUGGUGUCCCUCAACAUCAUGCUUCACUUCCUCCACCUCCUCCAAUUAUUCUCCCUCACCCACAAGUUCUUGAAAAGUUUAAAGUCACUCAAUCCCUAUUGGCAAGCAUAGUCUAUGUGUGCUCACAUCUUGGAGAUAAAGUCACAUAUUGACAAGCCGGGAGAGUUGGGUGUCAAAGUCUCGUGAAAGUUGGAUGUUCAAUCACUUUCUUAGUAACAUAGUGAGUCUCUUUGGGACUACUAUGAGACAGACUCUGACAUGACCCUUAAUGAUGUUAUUUAUUUGCUUGGUGAUGUGGAAUCAGCAAUGAUUUGGAACACCAGUAAAGCAAAUUUGAUUAAAAGAACAACUUCCCAAGUCUUAAAUGGACAUUGACAAUGGUAGCAUUGGAUAUCUAGAAAAGGAUUUCUCUUCCCAAUGGAAAGGGAUCGGCCAUAGUCAACUCGGUUGACCAAAUGGUAAAGAGAAAGGCUAAGUCUGAGAUAGUCUCAUGUGCCAUUACCAAAGGGUCCAUGUGUUUUGUUGCCAAAGGAAGGGGCAUUGGUUGCGAAGCUGCCCUAUUCACCUGAAAGGUCAUAAGGUUGAUCAAGUCAAGAGGUUUGACUCUACUUCGGGUAAAGUCCACUGUCUAACUCUAUUAAGUUCCUAUUUGGAGAUUCUUAUUACAUAAUGUGAAUGGGUCACAUGCUGAUGUUUUUAAGAAUCAAAGAAAAGAUAGGAAGCUUAAAGUAAGUAUAUGUUGAUUCUGAUUGCAAAGGUGGGUUUCGAUCGCAUGGUUCGGCAAUCAGAAUUUUGAGCUGUUGCUUAAGAGUUAUAAUAUAUUGCUUAUGAAUAGAUAACAACAAGGUUUUCAUGUGGAUUGUAAGGAUAAGUUUUUCCGCAAAGUUUUAAAAUAAAAGAAAAAAAGGGUUUUAAUUUUAUUUAUUUUAAAAAUAUCCUUACAAUGGCAUCUGUGGAAAAUUGUUGCUUAUAUGUUUCCAGUAAUAGCAAUAUUGGAAAGUGGAUUUGAUUCUUUCAUUUGUGGUAGUGUCUGAAUUUACCAAAUGAAGAAAGUUUUUCAUCACCCAAGUUUCAAUUGGACAGAAACUUGGAAUCAUACAAGUUGUAUUGUAUGAUGAAUGAGAAUUUUCAUCUUUGAAAAUUAAGACUAAUUCUUUGAUCACAUGUAUAUGUGAGUCAAUUGAAGGACUAAGGAAUUAGGUACACUGGGUGUGCGCUGGUCAAGGUCCACCACAAAGAUUGAUUUGUCAUGAUUUACUAAAGAUUAGUAAAUAUGAUUAUACUUAUAAGGUUAAGUAUAAUUCUGUAACAUUGGAAAGGUUACAAUGUAUGACAAAACAAAUGAGAAGAAUCAAAUUAGGCAGAAAGAUAAAAGUUUCUCAAAUCUGAAAGGAUGGGAGAGUACUUUAGUAUCGUAUUUCAUGAUCAUCUUAAUGAUUAUGAAACCAUAUCACAAAUUCAUACUCUAAGGACGUCUUAGUGCAUUGUUAUGGCUAAGAAGAGAGGUCAUGAAUUGUUGGAUUGGUUAAAAUCAAGAAGAUGAGUCAUACUUCGUUCCAAAACAAUUCUUAGAGUCAUACUCCAAGAUUGUAACUUUGAGUGACAUAAAGGAAGAUUUAUUAACACUAGUCAAAUGUAAGAGUAAAAUGUUUUCUACUCUUGUACAUUUGAGAUUGGUAAGUUGUGAUGUCUUGGAUGAGACAAAGACCAACUAAGACCAAUUGUGUGAAGUGUUAGUCUUGAUAAGAAUCCGCACUAUCCCUUGAAUAUUUGUUUUGUCAAGGAAUGGUUCUUGACUAGGGAAACUUAUAUGUCAAGGGGACAGUGGGAGCCUUAAAGAUCCUGAAAGAGUUUCAAGAUUUAAUCAAGAGUAAAACCUGUAAUUUAUCACUAGCACACGACUUAAGGUUUGCAACCUAUCGUGUUGACAUAAUUCUUAUUUCUGUACCUACUUCAAAUAAGUUGAAUUUGCAUGUGAGUUAUCAGAGUUCAACUUGGAAGCAUUGGUGGGCCUUGUGCUACCAAGGUGACAAGAAACUAAGAUUGAACAAGUUUAAUCCAUGUAAGGCUGAAUUUGUCACUAACCUUAUCUUGUGAUUAUGGUUUUGACAAAUUCACAUGGAUAGGAACUCAUACACUAUAAAAUCUAAGUGUCAUAAGGUUUCUCUCCGAUUCAUGAAAAUGAUGGUGAGGAAACGCUUUCACUAAGUAGAUUUUACGUAGAUAUCAAUUGUGUUAUUUGCAUUUUCAAAAGUCGUUAGUGGAGCGCGUGUGGUUAACCGGCACACUAACAUGGACUUGUGAGAAAUGGCAAAUGCCUAAGCAAUUGAGACUAUGAUUACGGCAUCCCUUUUCAUAGUUCUGAAAAUUGUUUAGACACACAUGUGAGCUAUCUAAGAAAGGGUGUAUGAAUCUAAAUUUCAGAAGUCCAACAGAUUUCUGGAAAUGUGUCAGAGCUAGUGGGAGCAUAAGUGUUAUGCUGAUAAUCAUCAUGUUAGUGGGAGCAUGACUAUUAUGAUUAGUAUUGCAAGCUAGCAAUGUUAAUUAUAGAAAACAAAGUUUCAAUCCGUGAAGUUGCAGGGGUUGAAAAGUUGUUUUGCUAUAAUUAAGGGAGAGGAAAUUAUACUUCAUGUCAAUUCUAAAGCUUAGAUUGAGAUUUUAAUCAUCUUUAGUCAAGAAUAUAUAUAUGAAUUUUAUGUUGGAAUGGUUCAACUUGAAGAAAUUCUAUAUAUAUUGCGUUUUCAAAAUUCGAUUAUGAUUACGGCAUCCCUCUUCAUAGUUAAAUUUUGAAAACAUGGCAAAUAAAAAAUAUUGUAGCAAAAGACUGGUCUAGUAUCAUGUCUUUAUGUCAAACAUCAUGAAUCGUGUCCCAUAUGCUUCGGAUAUAGGAUCGAUUUCAUGUGCUAUAAUAUUCAUCCUUUCUAAAUUUUCCAAAUGCUUAAGGCAUUUAGAAGGGAAAAGUCUAGAACUGGAUAUGACUAAAGUGAUUAAGCAAUUGUCGAGGACAAUCUGAGGUUCGCCAAAGAUUGGUUGCUCAGGGACAUUUGGAAGUCUAGUGUUAAUUUUGGUAGGACCAUAUCGACAUUUUCUGAAAAGAGGUAACUCUUGUUCGGAAGUGAUAGUCAAAUAGGACUAUGGAAAUGUCUCCAUAGGUGGAAGUGAUUCAAUCUAUGUAAGAUUAGGAAACUUAAUGCAAAAAGGAUGUUCCCAAGGAGCUGAUCUCCUUUGGAAUGCUCUGUAAUGGUUGUUGUCAAGUCUUUCUGACUUUGUGCAUAAUCAUUACAAGAGGAUCAAUGCAUAUAAGUUUAGAAUCUAACAGAUUUCAGUAAAUGACAUAAAUUUGGAAUUCUUGCAUUUACAAUAAGGAUUUGGGAUUGUGAAAUGAGUAUCAUUGGAAUCAUGUUCAAUUGAUCUACAUCACAAUGUAAGGAUCAUAGACAAACAUAGUGUGCAUACUUGGGGUAUGGCAUAACUAUUGUUUAGAAAAACAAAGUGUACAUGCUAGGAGCAUGGGACGACUGUUGUUUUUAUUCAAGUCUUAAGUUGAUUAUUUGAAACAUUGAAUAAUGUGUAAUCAAUAUGGUGAUAAAUAAAAAGUGGUUUUAUUUAUAUUCAAAAGGGUUCUGAGACCAUAUUAGAUUCGAUUAUUAUUGUAUUUCACUUUGCAUGUUUUGACUUCCAAAAUAGCUAGGUUAUUCUUUCCGGAUGACUAAGUUAUUUAAACACUCCACAGUCGUUCAUAUGUUGGAAGUAGGUAUGAAUCAAGACUGUCAUGAAUCGGGUUUGUAGAUGGCUAAAUGAGUUUAGUCAUGGCAAUGGUUGCUACAACAUUCAUGAGUACUCAUAAGUUAUGAGUAUUGGAAUAAACCCACGCUCACUUGUAUCACUUCAUGGAAUUUAUCUCGAGUGAUCGUGAGACGAUAAUAUCAUAUAAAUCUUCAAACCUAGAGAUAUGAGUUGUUACCUAUGAGUUGGUUGUGCAUUGAUUGCACGUAAACGCAUCAGUAACUUGAUGUUAUAAAACGUGCCUUUGUGUACAAUUCAACAAGUAGUAGAACAAGCAUAUGAGUCGAAGUUUAUCUGUUCCUUCUAGAAAUAGAAGCGAUAUCUGGGCCCCUCGAUGAUUUUGUUGUGACCUAUGUACCGGCCGGUCAGAACUGAAUUGAUGUGUUCGAUUAAGUUCUUUGUCAAACAAAUCGAAAAUCGGGAAACAAACUGCUGGACAAUAAGUACGACGUUGUUCCAUGUAUUUGUCCGGCUGAUAUCAUGAGAACAGAGGAUUAUAUGAUCACUUAUCUAAAAUGGCGCUUCAUAGUUCAACAGAGUUUUCGAGAGCUACGAUUGCUGGUUGGUUCCUGAAGUAACAUACGCAAAUAUAGUUAUUAGACUUAUCCAAGUGGGAGUCUGUUGGAUAAGGUGUCUAAGUCCAUAACUUAUUUGGUAUAUACUUGACCCGACCGGGCAUGGUCCAUUUGGGUUGCACUUCACCCGAACUAUUUAUGGAUAAUUUUAUGAGAGUUAUACACAUAUGUUUAUUAAUAUAUUAUAAGUUAUAAUAUAUUAAUAUGAAGUCAUUUUAUUUAAUUAGUCUUAGUCUUAAAUUAAUUAUGAAUUAAUUUAGAGAUUAAAAGGAAGACUAAUUAGAUUGUGGGCUAUUGGUUUUAUAUAGUGUGGGCUAACACUCAUUUGUUAAUGGGCUAGGCUUCUAUGGAAGUCCAUGGAUGAUCCAUGGAGCUUUUAACCCAUGGAUCCUUGGAAAAGGAAAGGUCAUGGGUUAUUAGGGUUUCACCCUAACCAUGCACACUAUAUAAAGAAGCAUAUGAUGCAAGAAAUGGCUCUAAGACUAGUGUCACUAGUGUGUGUGCUUGUGGCCGAUUUUAUAGUAUGUAUACACUUUCUCAAAGUUUUCCAAGAGUUUGUGGUGAUUUGUGAUUCCAUUUGAGGCAUUCACACUAUUGGUGCUUGGCCCUCAAACUCCUUAAGAAUCAAACUCAUCAAAAGGUAUGUAAUCUCAUCUAAUUCUUUUAUGUUUAAAAGUACACCAUGCCAUGUUAGAUAGGUUAUGAACCUUGGAAAAUUAUUAUUUUGCAUGUAUUUAGACAAACAUAGAUCCAAGGUUUAUUAGGGUUGCAUGCACACUUAGGAAGUGUUAGAUUACUCAAAACCCAACAGAAAGAUGGUGACAUAAUCGAGAGGCAAUAACAGUUUUUAGAGAGAGAGAGAAAGAGAGAGAGAGACAUUCCAUAAUUACCCCAUCGCUGGAAACCUGCAUUUGGGUGUGAAUUCACAACGGUCUGAGACAUACGAUCUUGUGUAGGGGACUAGCUUUAAGUCAUCAACUAUCACAGAUACAUGGAUUUCUGUAUGUUUUUUUUUAUCUAAACUUGAUUUUGAAGAGAAUUUUGGGUUUUUUUUUCUAGAUUGGGAGGAAGAUUUUAAAAUCUGGGGGAUUUAUUUUCUACUUCGAUUCCUNNNNNNNNNNNNNNNNNNNNNNNNNNNNNNNNNNNNNNNNNNNNNNNNNNNNNNNNNNNNNNNNNNNNNNNNNNNNNNNNNNNNNNNNNNNNNNNNNNNNNNNNNNNNNNNNNNNNNNNNNNNNNNNNNNNNNNNNNNNNNNNNNNNNNNNNNNNNNNNNNNNNNNNNNNNNNNNNNNNNNNNNNNNNNNNNNNNNNNNNNNNNNNNNNNNNNNNNNNNNNNNNNNNNNNNNNNNNNNNNNNNNNNNNNNNNNNNNNNNNNNNNNNNNNNNNNNNNNNNNNNNNNNNNNNNNNNNNNNNNNNNNNNNNNNNNNNNNNNNNNNNNNNNNNNNNNNNNNNNNNNNUAUAUAUAUAUAUAUAUAUAUAUAUGUGUGUGUGUGUGUGUGUGUGUGUGUGUGUGUGUGUGUGUUUAUUAACUAACUGUACAGGGAUAGUGAGGAUAAGAAAUGUGACCAAAGAAAAAGAUGAUGAAGUUGUGUGCAUGUGUUUUAAUUUCCAGGAAGAAAUUUCAAAGAGAGAGAGAGGGGGGNGGGGGGGUAAAGGUCAAAUAAGCGAAAAAAUGGAUUAUGGAAAAAUGGUCCCUUACAUAUGAAAUGACGAAUUUACCCUCUCAUGUGAGGCACAUGAGGAGGGUUAAUAGAUCAUAUUUAAUGGCAGUUAAGUCCAAGGACUAAUUCCACAUACAAACCACUCCAAAAGGACCAAAGAUCCAAAAAACACGGGGUUUGGACUAAAACCCCAAAAAAUUUCAUACCACAGGGACCAUUUUCGCAAUUUUGUCUAUAAUAAAAUUAGUGUAAUCUUUCAAAGAAAAGUGUUGCGGAAUUUGUUCCCAAAAACAAAAUAUGAUAAAAAAAUUUAUCAAAGCAUUUCUUAAAGAAAUGUAUUUUCAUUACAUUACAAAACUCGAGAUGUCAUUGUCAAUACAGAUCAAAAGCAUAAACAAAACAUCGUAGGCCACAAAAUAGAAUUGGCCUGAAAACAAUAUAGGCCUUACAAAACAAAAUUGGCCUCUAAUGCUUGAAAGGUUCCCUAGCCUUCAGGGGUUUUAGCUGUUGGAAUAGUGUCUAAGGCUGCAACUAUAUUAGGCAAGUAUCUGACCCGGUUGUGCAUGGUCCUUUUGGGUUGCCUUCACCAUAGCAACUUGAUAGGAUGAUUUAUUAAGAGAGAGUAAAUAUUAUUAAUAUAUUAUGAGAAUAAUAUAAAGAAUAAUAUAUUGUUAUUUGAUUAAUAUAAGUCAUAGAAUUAAUUGGAAUUAAUUUGGCGACUUAAAGAGAUUAAUUAAAUAAGAGGGUAUAAACUGGAAAUUGUUUGAUAGUUAAACUUUAGACUGUAAAUCCAUAUAGAUAUGGAUUGGACGGAUUCUAGAAGCUAGGAUAGCUUCAAAUCGUCAAAAGAGUUAUCUAAGGAAUGGAUUUGGAUAGCCUUAAGAGAAGAUUAUCCAAUUAGGGUUUAGGUUGUAACCCUUAAGGAGUCUACAAGUAUAAAUAGACGCUAUGACAUAAGGAAUUCGGCAUUUCACCUAAAGUAGAGAAGCCCUGGCCAAAUUCCUCCCCUCUCCUCUCUCCCAAAUCAUCCUCCUUGCUAUUUGGUGUUUGUAAGCCAUUAGAGGAGUGACAAUUGUGACUCUAGAAGCUCCAAGACAACAAGAUCAACAAGGAAUUCAAAGGUAUGAUUCUAGAUCUGUUUCAAUAUUGUUAUUACACCUAAAUAGUCAUUAGAAGUCUUGGAUUCAAAGCAUGUUUAAUUAGAAAGCCUAGAUCCAAGCAUUAGGGUUUUGCAUGCGCACAUAGGAAAGUUCUUAUGGCUAAAACCCAUCAGUGGUAUCAGAGCCUAGCUUGGUUUUCUGUAAAUUGUUGCUUGAUUAACUGAAACAAACCUGCAAAAUUCGAAUUUUUGGUUUCUGAGUCAUGGACUCGGCGAGUCUCAAAGUGGACUCGGCGAGUAGGCCUGACUCGGCGAGUCCCUUUGUGCACUCGGCGAGUCCAGGCGUCAGGAAUGGCCAGAUUCGGGAUUUCUUUGUGUUUAUCUUAUCUUAACUUACCAUAAACUAAUUAGAUCAAUAUUAAUUCGUUUUUCUGAUAUAUAUAACUAUUAUCUUGAUCUAGUUAAAGGUAUUUAUCAACUAAUUAAAUAUUUAAUUUCCUUAUAUGAUAAUUAAUUAAUUAUUUUGAUUAUUUUGGUAAUUAUCUUUAAAAGAAAUCUUGAAUAAAUCAAAUAUAGAUAAUUAGGAUAUUAAUUGUUAAUUGGAAUUAUUUGUUAUUUGAUCCUCCAUGUUUUAAAUGUUUAAAACCUACCCUCAAGUUUUGAAAUUUAUUUUUGUGAUUAAAAGUUUUAAUUUAGACAACUUAAAUUUCAAACCCUAGAUUUUAAAAGUUUUAAAAUACAACCCUAUACUAAUAUGAUAUUACUAGAAUAAUAUAUAUAUGUAUAACUAAAUGCUAGUCUUACCGUUAGUAGGCCUCAUUCACGAAGCCGAUCUAUAAGGUGGGUAUAAGGUUGCGGCCUAUAAAAUGGCGCUUAAUGGGUGUACACUCACACCCACCGCUUGCUUGAUUGGUGGAGGGUCGUUAGCCGAACGGGUAGGAUAGGGCAACCUCAUCCUCUCAUUAAAAGUAUAAUAAGUAAUACAAAGUAACUACACAUUUUUUUAAAAUUUCCCAAUCUUAGUUACUUUAGGAAAAGUGAAUUGAUGCAAUCCCAUGAAAUUACACUUUGCACCCUUGCUAAGAAGUUAGUGGAGCGUGUGUGGUUUACCGGCACACUAAUUGGUUCUAAGCAAAGGUGGCAAAGGGUGAUUCAUUGUUUAUCAUAGUUCGAUGGAGCGUGUGUGGUUUACCGGCACAUCGAAUAGGUGAUCGUUACAAUGAAGGCACCAUGUGAAUUUGCAUGGUAAUUCACACCCGCUUUGUGAUCCUCGGUAUCCCAGUCACAAACAAGAGGGGCAUAUCGAGAUUUAAACAUGCCAUUGAAUAGUUUCAAUGAAUCUCAUCCAAACCUAGGAAUUCUCAAUCCAUUUAGGACUAAUAGUUAGGUUAUGUGGUGGAGAAUUAGUGAAUCGUCAUUCACUUACCUUCAAUUUAUUUGCAUGUUAGAUUACGGCAUCCCUUUUCUAAUAUGUAAAUGAUAUUGUUGGAUCCUAGCCCUAAUUUUUCUUAUUGGGUGAUAAUUAGGGAUUCAUAUUCUAAUCUAUCUUUGUCCUUUCUAUUUGUAGAUGUCGAACGCAAACAACGUUGCUGCUAGUUCUUUCACGUUGAUGAGCCUUUGCCAAAAGGUCACCUUCGAUGGAACGAACUUUAGCGAAUGGAUAAGAUACAUUCGCACCAUUGCUCGCUAUGAGGAUAAGGAGUAUGUCCUCGAUGAGAAGCUCGAGAAAAUCAACUCUGAAAUCGCUACUCCGGCUGAAAUUACCGCUUUUGAAACUCAUGAGCAAGAUGCAACGAAGGUACAUUGCAUCAUGAUAGCCACCAUGAACUCCGAAUUCCAAAAGUCCUACGAGGACAUGUACCCGUACGAGAUGCAUCAAGACUUAUUGGAGAGAUACGAUCAAAAUGAGAGACAAGAGCGUUAUGAGAUUUUCACUAACAUGAUUUCCGCUAAGAUGGGUCAUGGAGAAUCUCUUACCGUGCACCUGCAAAAGAUGCAAAUGUAUGUCGACCGCCUUCGCAAGUUAAAUGUUGACUUUGGGGAAACUUGGCGAUCGACAUGGUGCUUUACACUUUGCCUCAANGGCGAGUAUCAGUGAUAUUUCAAAAAAAAAAAUUUAAGUUUUAACCUAACUAAAACAGAUACUAAAACCUAAUUACUAGUUACUAAAUUGCAAUAAAUGAACUUUAUGCAAGUAAACUCACACAAAGGAUCGAAAAAAUUAGGAAUUAGCUUAAUUAUUUAGAACCGUUCCCCGGCAACGGCGCCAAAAACUUGAUGUGUGUAAAUUCAACUAGUUUUAUCCCUACUUUUUAUUAGUAAUUUGAGCACACAAAGGCAGUGAACCUGUCUUUAAGUGGUAUAGAUUGAUAAGUAAGGUAUCGAACUCAGGGAACGGACAAUUAAACUAAUAGCUAAUUUUAACUAAAACAAAUAAUAAAAGUAAAGAGUUUUUUCUCUAGUUUUGCAAGACUAGAAACUUAAACAAACUAAAUUAACUAAUUAACUAAAGCAACAACUAUUCACCAAAUUUGAUAAAGAUGUUUCUAUUUAGGUUCAACCAAUUCACUCCUAUGGUUAUUUAAGUUAAGGUGGAUUAAUUGCUAUUGGUUACCAAUGAUAAUAGUUAGGUUCAUAUUCAUUACUCCUAACCCUUAGACAAUUAACUAAUUUAAGCGUUGAUCAAGUGUUUAAACUAAUUAAUUCCCUAGAUUAAUUAUUUGGAUUAAAUAAGAUUUGUAAUGGUCAAUUAAGUUAUUAAUUCAAUUAACCUCUUGUUGAUGGUUUCUCAAACAAGCUCACACAUUAAUCUUCCUAUUUUCUUAUUAAUCUUAGUUUCAUAAUCAUUACUUCUAAGCAUAUGUUUUAGCAUUCACAUAGACAUAUGAGGUUAACAAUUAAGUGAUGUUCAUGCAACCUAAUUGCCUUCCAAUUAACAGAAAAUAGUAGUGAUUAAUACAUAAGGUUCUUUAACAAACUUAAUUUAAUAAAUCACCAAUAGACAAUUAAACAAGAAUCAAUAAUUAAACCAUAGGAGUUCUUUGGUAUUCCCCAAACAGAAACAAAAACGAGUUUAGCUCAUAGUUGCAGUAGAAACAAACAAAGAAACAAAGUUUAAGAAAGCAAACAUGUUUAAUUCCUAAGUCUAAGUGGUAGAAUUAACCUAAUUGCUUGAAUUCUUCCAACUCUUGAAGCUUAGGGUUCCUUAGCGCCUUCUCCACUUUUUAGUCGCAGCUAAUCCUUUNUCCUGGAAUAAGGAUUCGUCUUUUAUAGAUAUCCCAAAACAGGGGGUACUCGGCGAGUAGCAGAAUCAACUCGCCGAGUAGGUCCAUACUUAUCCGUCUUUAAUUAGCAGUUGUAGUUAUCUUCUGGCAUAUCGUCGUGCACUCGCCGAGUAGGGUCGAUCUACUCGCCGAGUAGAUCUCCUUCUUUCACUCUUUAAUCUUCACUCGCUCUCCUUUUCUCCUUUUUGCAUCCAAGCAUACCUUUUGGACUGAAAACACAAUUCUCAACAUUUUAAGUACCUUUUGUCCACAUUAUUCUCAUAAUUAAUCAAAAAUAACUAAGAAUAUAUAUUAAAUAAUUAACUAAUUAUGCACAUAUCAUUAGAUCUGAAAGAAAAAGUUCAGAUCUAAAGGAAAAAGUUUAGAUCUGAAAGAAAAUGUUCAAAUCUAAAAGGAAAGAGGUUUAGAUCUUUCAUCUAGCAUAAAUCUCAGGUAAAUAGAUAAUAUAUACACAUAGCACGUAAUUUAUAAAAUACUUCAUAUCAAUGUGUAAGAUGAAAGUGACUAUUCACUCACCUGAUAAGAAGGUGAUUCGGACAACGCUUCUCUUCUUAAAAUAAUCUUGUUUGAUGAAACCUGGAGGUUUGCUUGAAAAUCGGGCUCUGCACGGGCAGAGUUUCAAACCGAAAAACUCUUUUUCUUGGAGGCUUCAGGCUCUCUGAGACUUUCUUCUAAUGCUUGAAAGGUUCCCUAGGCAUCAGGUAUUUUAGCGUAGGCUAGAGAGAUGUUAGAGAGAGAAAGAGAAGGGUUUGGGAGUGAGUUAGUCGGCUGCCCUCGCAACUCUAUUUAUAGGUGUGACGCCUCGCGCUACGCUGGGCGUAAUUCGGAGUACGCUGUGCGUAGAGAGAAGUUCGUACAACACAUGUCGGUCUUCAGAUGGAGGGACGUGGCUUCUUCUGGACCGAGGAAGGUUAGACAGCUGGGCGUGCAGGGCUCGUACGUGGGGCGUACUUCCUACGAUGGGCGUCCGAAGGUACGCAGAGCGUACCCCUCACAUCCAGCUUUGCAAUUAACAGACUCCAACUUCUAAAAUUCGUAACUUUUGCAUACAAGCUCGGUUUUCGACGUUUUUUAUAUCCACGUGUAGACGGGACCAUACUCUGCAACUUUCAUUUAGACUUCAUCGGCUAAUUUUGAAUCUAUUUUUAAAGUUAUAUUUUUAACAGGCCGGGACAAAAAAAGUCGGUUAAAAGUUCAUAACUUUUUCAUUUGAUAUCCGUUUUCGUCUGUCUUUUUUACAAUUUAACUACUAUUAAUGAGACAUUCGAUUCUCGUUUAGUUUGUGUCAUCCAGAAAUCGUUCAAUCUAUUAUUCGAACUCUGGGCUACAUAUUGCUAAGCCGAAACUUAGAAAAAUCAUAACUUCCUCAUACGAAGUCAGAUAUGGGCGCUCUUUUUAUGCACACUCUCGAUAUAACGAACACCACGACUUUCGUUUAGAUCGCUAAGGCUAAAAAGCAUUCUAUCGUAAUUUCACUAUUUACUUCACGCAGUGUCGUGUCGGUUUUUUCGCGAAACUUCGACAGGUUAUAACUUCUUCGUUAUAACUCGGAUUUCGGCGCUCUUUAUAUCUCCAGAAUCCUUGGCACGACCACUACAACUUUCUUCAUCGAUAUCGGGCUUAUCUAACAUUUAUUUUUGACUCUUAUAUUUAUUAUAUCUUUACAAAUAAGUAUAUAGUCACAUAAAAGCACAUGAUUCACAUAAUAUUCAAGUAAUUCAUAUUUAUUACUUUAAAAUAGGUUACAACAGUUGACCUAGACUAUUACAUCAUUGCAUCAAUGCUUAGCCUGGAAACACGGACGUUACAGAAUUAAAGGAGUAAACCAGUAACAUUUUUGCUAGCUCACCAAAUAUAUGUUGACUGUCAUGUUGACCAAUAAACCUUCGUCUUCAAAGCACUCCCUCACCAACUCUUGCGCUGUUAAACAAUUUUUGAGUUUUGGCAUCACUAUUUUAAUUUUAUUGAAGCCGAUUUACUGGUAUAUAGGAAUGCUGGAGGUCAAAACUUCUAUGAUCUAACCAUUCUUCCAAAUCCUAUAUUCCUAACUCUGUAUACCCAAGACGAUUUCGCAACUUUUGUCCCACCCUUUGCAUGUCGAUUGCUUCGAUCUGUUUCUAGUACGUCUUCUUGUUCUGCUUCUUCCUCUACAUCUAUGCUUAAAUCCCUAAUUUCUCGUUGCCUUAUCUCAAAUUUCAUCAAUAUCUCUCUUUUGUUUGCAUUGAAAACUUCAACCCACGCCUUAGCUGCAACGAUUUUAUGAUUUGGUACUACUAAAGCAAAUCACAAAGAAGAAACCAGGUCAUGCUCUUAUUUCUACUAGGAGGUAUCGUUGUUAUUUAUCGAUUUUUAGUUUCUAGUUGUUUUUUUUCUUCGAUUAGUUGAUAAAUUUUUGGUAGGCCAACUAACAAUUACGAACUAUCAUUAGCUUUUAUGAUCUACUUUACUGUGCUUGAAUUGAAAGGUUAGGUGUGAAUUGGGGGAUGAUGAUUGAGUAGUGUCGAUAGUACAAUGAUAGAAUUGAAGAUUCAAAAGGAAAGAAGAAGUUUUUUUUGGCUGUUUUAUAGUUAGGGGGAGAGAAGAGGGAGUGGUGGUGAAAAAAGAGAACCCUUUAUCGAUAGAAAAUAGCUUGGAAAAUAGAUGAAAAGAGCAUCAAAGAUUAUAUAUAUGUNAUAUAUAUAUGUGGCACACUAAACAUAUUAUUUCAGAUAAUAAGGACUAAAAAGACAGGUUGGUCAUGAUUUUGUUCCCUCAAAAAGCAAUAAAAAUACUUUAGGGCUAAAUGGAUCAAACCUAAAAACUUUGUAGGGGAUUUUUGCCAUUUCCCUUAAAUUAAAAUAUUAUCCAAAUUAGGAAACCUAUAAUUAAGGAAGACGUAAAGAUCAAGUUGAAUUAUAUAGCCUCACAACACCAUUCUUCUAUCAUGUCGCUUUUAUACUUGUCGAUGCAUUAGUCACUGCCAACAACUUCUUGUUUGUUCUCCCAAUAUCAUUAAGAGCGAGGGCAUAAUUCAUCAAUGAAAGGCAAAUCCCAAUAUCCUUUGUUUUUUAUUCCUGCGAUCAAUGGGUGGGGGAUGAUCCCAAGAACCUGCAUGAAGUAAAUUUUGGUAUUCUUCAAACAAAUUGCAUCCACAAUACAAGAACCCAAAAUCAGUUUUGAUAUCUUUAUGAUUCGAAAAGUCAUCAAAUUCAUGAAAUCUUAUGUAUUAGGGAUAAAAACUACUGUUGAAGAAGAAGGCCAAUUUCAAAAUCACUUAAUAAUCCUCGUAGGAUCCACAGAAUAGGUGAAUACGUAGCUGGUGCAAUCGCCUCUACAACCUUUCAAGAGGUUAGUAUUCUUACCAUUUUGUUCUUAUUUCUUACACANNNNNAAAAAAAAAAAAAAAAAAAAAAAAAAAAAAAAAAAAACUGCAAAACUAAACAAAACAAAACUGCAAAACUUGUUCAUGUGGAUUGUAUUUUUUCAGAAAAAACCUCGGACCACUAAACUUUUGCAUUGGUGGUGCAUCUCUUUUUUACAUAUUUGUCUCAAACUAAACUAUUAUACCUAUUAUAUAUUUACUUUCUAUUUUUCUUUCAUUUUUUAAAUUAAUAUUAAUAUUAAAUAUAAUAAAAGGCUCACAUUCUCUCUCUCUCUCUCUCUUCUCUCUCCUGUCCUCUCUUUCAUACUUAUUUUGCCACCGCAUCACUAAACACAUACCACAACCGUCAUCUUCAUUAAUCCUAUACCUCGUGGAGGAAUUCGUGAGUCCAAAGGAGUGGAAAAUAGUCUUGAAAUCAACAACCUUGCUGAAAUUUGUUGUCGAUGAACAUAACAAGAAGCAGAAAUGUAUUACCCUUGAUUCAUAUAAUCUUGUACAAUUAAUUUGUAUUUCAACUUUUACAAGUGCAGAUUUCAUUAGAUGUCAAUUUGUGAAUAAUCGUGGUUCGAGAUGUGUUGGAUGAACAUUCUAAUCUUCUGACAUGAGGCAUAAGAUGCACACUAUCUCUUUGAUAAAAUUUCUCAAUCAAUACUUUAUACUUAAUUUUAAAUAUAGAUAAUUAGAUAUUAUCAGUGUUAAAAGCUGAGUAAUAGGGAUGACGCAUAACAUGCAAUCCAUAUGUUUGAUAAAAAUUCUUAAUCAUUACUUAAUUGUAAAUAUAGAUAUUAAAUCUUUUUUUUUUCAUAUUUUAUAUAUCGUCUAUAAACAUAACCUUGGAUUAGUUCGUUUAGGUUUUUUUAUAUUACAUAUAUAUGUACGUUUUUUUUAUUUUUGCAGAUAUGUUACAGUUACGACAUUUUAGAGUGUAAGGGGAUUUUUUUUUUUUCUGAAAUUAGCAGCACUAAUCAAAAGCCAACACUUGAUUGAUUGACUUUAAGAUAAGAACCAUUGUUUUAAUAUAUUAGUAGCUUGUAUUGGUUUAUUUUCAAACUAGUUGUGAGACACAUAUAUUAUACAGGUUGAUUAAAACAAAAUAUGAAGUACGAACGAUUAAAUAGAAAUUUUAUUUGAAUUUGAAAUUGAAAUAAAUGAAAAUUAUGAGAAAAAAAAACAUGCAAAAAAUAAAUAAAUUAAAAUUAUGUGUUUAGUGUGUACUAAACCGGAUAAUUAUAACAAAAUGAUAUACAUAAAGGUUUAAACUGUAAAUUUAUUUGAAAUUGAAUUUGAAAUUUAAAAUUUAAAAUUUGAAAUUGGAAAUUAAUAGUCAUUAUGAUAGGUUUAAUUUAUGGAAACUAAAUUAAUGAUAUAUUGAAAAUGAAAAUUAAAGUAAUGACAAGUGGAAAAUAAAUAUAUCUCAAAUUAUGACAAAAUGACAUGUGGCUAAUUUUAUGAGAGAAGGACAUGUGGCAAAGUCAUUUUCAUUUAUUAGGAUAGAUUUAGCUAGUGUUUUUAGUGAUCAGGUCAAAAGAACCAUGAAUAAGCUUUUCAUUAAGGUCUUUCCCUCUAAUUUGAAGUACAAAUUUAUUGAAUCGGAUGAAGGUAAACUUGAACCCAAUAUUUAAAAUAUUGUAAUGUACUAUGUAACAUUUUCAUACAAGGUUUUAUGUAGUUUAAGAUCUUAAAAUUGGCUAAUGGAAAUAUGGUCUUCUUAGACCCAUCGGUGUAUCGUGUACCACACACUGCGGUAUAGUGCGGUGCGCAGUAAACACCACACCAACCACACAACGAAAGUAUAGUAUACGUCCCGCGUGUUACAGUUUUGAUACACCAAAAUCUUGAAAUGUAGCCUUUGGCAACGAUUAGAAUAUUAAAUUUUUUUCGAAAUCCACUAGAAAUACACUACUAUCUAGUACAUUUUUUUCACACACAAUCUACUUUCAAGUUAUACAUGGUGGUUGUCGAUGCCAACACAAAUAAUAACCCUAAAUAUUACACACUAAAAUAGUGUAUAGUGGUAAAGGGAUCGAAUCCACGGAGAUUGGUUCAAUUUAUAACUCUAUGAAAAAUAUUUUUGUAAAAAUACUUGUAAAAUGACAAUAAAAAUAAAAUGGCGUUGGAGGUGAUUCUUCUAUGCGGGCAAGGAAUGGGUCGCACAUAAGCCGCACAAGACCUUACGCUGGCCGCAUGGAUUUUCACGCGGGCCGCAUGAAUUUUCACGCGGGCCUCGUGACUUCCUGCACUUCAAAAUUUGAAAUUUUUCUAAAACGUUGAUUUUUGGCCAAAAUGAUUCCCGCAAAGUCCCGGGUUUCAAAAACACAACAAAAAGUUUGGACCAAAUGCGAGAAUAAAGCUUGAAAUUUUUCAAAAAUUAACAUUUUCAUAAAAAAAAAACAUUUUCAAAAUCAUUUUAUUCGGUUUAUAAAAGACGAAAGUACAAUGCUUCCCAAAAAUGCCCUUCUUUAACGUCUUUGGCGAGACGCCUCCAAACUUCGCUUUAACACUUUCGGGUGUCCAAAUGGACGACAUCUUGGACAUUUGAAUCAAAACCUUCAUAGAAAGGUUUCAACCGAUGUCCAUUAACAAUGAAAAUUUGCCCCGUGUCGACAUUUUUUAGUUUCCACAUCUCCAUUGGGACUCUUUUCUUGUAUUUGACUUUCUUUUUACGGGAGAACCAUACCGGACUUAGACCUUUGAUAAUAGAAAGCAUCCAACCAUAUUCUUUAUUGUACUUGUUUAGUAAGGUGACCAAGUCUUUCAUCUUUGACAUGGUGGUCAAGUUGGCGACCGGUUGGGCGUCUUCAUUCUCAACAUAUGUAUCCUUUAAAGGGUCCGACAUAUUUAUCAUUCCCGGCUCUUGUGGUUCAUCUACCACUGGAGUUAGUUUCUCAAUGGUAGUGGGUGGCUCAACCUCUCUUUUGUUAACACCGAACACUUCCUCUAUAGUUUCAUUGACAUCUUUCUCAAUUUUUUCUUCCUCCUUCAUAGCCUCUUCCAUUUCUACGCCUUCUUCCCCUUCUCCAUAUAACACUCUUGGGCCAUCAAAACUUUUCUCAUCUUUCAAAGGAAUGACACAUGGGCUCUCUUCAGAUGGUAGUUUGUCUUGAUCUUCCAAUAUACUUAUUGUUUGAACAAGUUGUGUUAUUUGUUGCUCUAAGCUUUUGAGGCUAGCUUGCGUUGUUUCCUGGAAAUUUUGGGUAGAUGUGGCAAUGCUCUUCACAAUGUCCUCUAAGGACAUGCUUUGCGUUUCAGGUUGUUGAGGAGGUGAAGGAUAUGGAUGUUGGAAUUGUGGAGGUUGUUGGUAUUGGUCGUUACUCCAAGCUUGGUAUGGGCUUUGGUAUUGGUUGUAUCCCCAAGAUUGGUUGCUGUCCCACCAUUGAUCAUGUUGAGGUUGAUCAUAACUCCAUUGGUUUGACCAAUAGUAGCUUCCCUUCUCUUGCACUUCUUUCCAAUCUCCUUGUAAAUAUGGACACAUGUCGGAUUGAUGUCCAUUUUGGGCACAAAAAUCACAAAGAAGAGGUGUGGGCUGCACACUUUGGUCAUUUUCAAUCAUCAUAACUAACUGAGCUAGCUCAGUAAGUUUAUCUUCAAUGCUAGGAGUGUUCAUUCCCAAACCACACUUUUUUUCUUCAAUUUUUGAGUUUUAAACUAGAGUACCUGCACAAUGAGAUCUAGGCAUAGAGAAACAAACUGAUUAAAUCAAAACCAAUCCCCGGCAACGGCGCCAAAAAUUUGGUGGUUGUCGAGGCCAACACAAAUAAUAACCCUAAAUAUUACACACUAAAAUAGUGUAUAGUGGUAAAGGGAUCGAAUCCACGGAGAUUGGUUCAAUUUAUAACUCUAUGAAAAAUCUCUUUGUAAAAAUACUUGUAAAAUGACAAUAAAAAUAAAAUGGGGGGUUUUGGUGUUUUGAAAUACUUGAAACAAACUAGAAUUAACUAUGAUUUAAAUAGACAAAUGCAACAAAAAUAAGAGUUUGAUGUAAAAUCAAUAAGGGAGAGAUGGUUGACUUAAAGUUUCCUCACUUUGACUUUUGAUGAACAUAUCAUUAGAAUCCAAUGGUGCAAUACUUUGAUUUAAAUCCUUAAUUUGGCUAUAGUAAUCCAAGGAGCUUGAGAUUACCUAGACUUUUCUUAAUUGUUGAAAUGGCUAGAGAAGCUCAUAACAAUUUCCUUAGUCAAAGUCACUAAUUCCAAAUAGCAUGUAAUUAGUGAAAGUCAACUAGCAUUAAGAACCAAAAAGUCACCAAAUCCAAGAGGAGUCAAAUGCUUUCACCACCAUGUUGGAGGAAAUGUUUUUAUGAUUGUGUGAAGCAAAAACAACACAAAAAUCAUUUGUUGCUUGCUAAUUUGAGGAUCAUUUACUUAAUCAAGAAAUUAGCCAACUAAUCACCACAAACACAUUUAAACUCAUGAAUAAAAACAUACUAGUAGUGAUAAUAUGAUAAAACACAAAACAUUUCCAUAAAGAUUUAAGAACAAGUUCAUGGAUUCUUCAACAUUCAAUAAAAGUUCAAAGGAUUCAACAAAAAGUCAACCAAGAUUAGUUUAGCCAAGCAUGACUAAACUCAAAGAAACAAAGUUAGAGGAAAUUGUACCAAACAAUUUACAAUAAUCAAGAGGUGAAAUCAAGAUGUUCUUGAGGUGUUCUUGGCCUUCAAAAGCACUCCAAACUCCAGAGAGAACAAGUCAAACUCGGACCUUCAAGAUAAGGCUGAAGAGGCACACCAACCUUCCCAAUAUAGAGCUCUAAGUAAAAUCCCGAAAUUGCCCUUGUCAGGAAUCCACGCGGGUCGCGGGGAAUCUUACGCGGGCCGCGUGGCUUUGACGGGUUUUUGGGUUCCUUCAUGUCUUGGGCCCCAACAGCUAGUCCAUUGGCCCAGUUCGAGUCCAAUCAGCUCCUAGCCCAUUUUUCUUCAAUAUUUCUUCAAUUUGAGCCCAAUUUGUCUCUCCACAUCACUCAAAACUUCCGAAAACUCCCAAACAUCGAUCUUGCACACUCAAGAAUUUUCCCGUGCCUUUCAAAUUUAAAGUUCAACACUUCCACACCUUCAAGUAAUUGACAAGCCCACUCCAUGAAUCACCUCCACAACCAUCAAGCAUGAAAUCCCCAUAGCACUUCAAGUCCAAACACCUCCCAAAAAUCCCGCUCCGCUAGUCUCCAGAAAAUCUGCAAUAAUGCUCAAGAAACUAGAAAGUACCCGAAAUGGUCAUAAAAAUAACAAAAAGGAAAAUAUGCAUGGAAAUUAACUAAAAUGUGAAUGAAAUAUGCUAAAAAAAACUAUAAAAAGGAGUAAAUAAAAUGAAGCUAUCAAUACAACAUUUGAAACCUUUUCAUUCCAAAGAUGUAUCCAAAGAACCUCAAUUUACCGCUCGUAGCAAAUCGUGUGCAAAUAUUCAUUCGAUUGAGCCAUUGAUUUAUCGACCACAAAUGGAUUCGUCUUCCAUUUCGUCCCGACCCGAAGCACAACCACAAUACUUUUACUAUCAACAAAUACCAUAACAAUAUUUUGUGAUUCAACCUCAUAGCCCAACCACGUUUUUAAAAUCCCCCCCCCCNNNNNNNNNNNNNNNNNNNNNNNNNNNNNCCACCCUCCCUGAAUAUGUUCCUUCAUCGGAAAUCAAAUUUGUCCAGGAAACUCAACUCGAUAUCGAACCAGUUGCCGAGCCCGAAACUAAAAUUGUCGGGAAACUCAAAUCGAACCAUCCAACCCCAAAACUUGCGGAAAAGGAAAACCACUGGUUUGAAAUGACAAGAUGGUGUCUCAACAAUGGCCAGCGGAAAAAGAAAUGGUUUUAGCGCAACCAUGUGUCGAUAUUUCAGAGGAUUUCAAAAAGGUAACACACAAAGAGAUGACUAUUUUUUGCGACGCAUACGCAGGCGAUUUCUUGUGGUUAUGAAUCAUGGCGUGUACUACACUAAAGAUUAUUUUACUAGCAAUUUUUGCAAGAUCAACAAAUACGUCACUAAAUUUAACAACAUUUACAACAAUUUGGUAACUCAAUGGAAAAGCCGGGAAGGCGAUUAAAAAAGUUUAAACACGACCCUUUAAAAAUUUCUUUUUUUACAAUAAUAAGAAGUCGUUCAUGUUUAUCGAUGUUUGGAGGUUUUUAUCCAAGUUCCUGAAAUGGAUAAAAGAGAAUGGUAGCGAUGAAGGUGGUGAGAAAGUAACCAAAGUUUUGAGACAAGUUACACUACUUCACUGAAUGCGCAUUUGGGGUUAAUUUGAACAAAUGCGAAUAGCUCGAUCUUGAAGAGGUAAUUUGACCGAUAGGUUGAGAUAACGCAAAACAAGAGGUUCGUCGUCGAUUACAUCGGGAACGGGAAUAGGAGAGUGAGUACAUAGAGUUGCUAAUAAAUUGGAAAUAUAUAAUUUGAAUUUUCAGUGUUGUUUGAGUUUUAGAAAGGAGAAGUUAGAGGAGAAAAGGAGAUCAAGAGAUGAGAAGUGGUGAGCUCGAGAGGAGAAGCAAAGAAGUCGAGAUAUAAAUUUUUUAACAAAACCUUUAUGUGCCAUCUGUCAAAUUUGGUCAACAAAAGUUAACAAGGGUCAACAAAAGUCAAUUGUGUGUAUAUUAGGUCAAAAAGGUGAAGUGUGAUUUACGUAACAUCCCUAAUGUAUUAUCGAAUAUUAUAAUGCUACACACGCUAUUUUGAAAUUCAUUAUCAAGUAAACGCUUUUAUUGCGAUUAGUAAACUACGGUAAUGUAGUAAUACAAUAAAACACACAAAUAUUACCGAGAAUUGGGUAAUGUUCAUAACACGAGGUUUACUUGUUCACAAAUCCAUAAACACGUUUUAAACAUCAUAUGACCUAGUAUUUAGUUGAUAUUCCGUUGAUUAUUCUGGAAAAGGUCAUACAUCAAGAAAACAAAAUGUUAUCAUGUUUAACGCUCACAUUUUAUACAACGAAUUUUAGAAAAACAAUAUAAUUAUAAGGUGUUAAUACUAUUGUUAAUAAUAUUAAAUAACAAUAUUUUUAUUAGUUAUUUAACCUUAUCAAUUUCUCAAAUCUUAGUGCACUUUUAUAAAAUUGACAAACUUUUAUAAAAAUGUUAGGUUUUUAUAAAAUUAUAUGAGACAAAUUAUGUAUCUUCUCUCCCAACAUAUCUCCCCAUAUCCAACAUCAUCAUAUCAUCUGUAUAAUAAAGAAAUCAAGAAACCAUACCAUGAAUAUAAUAAUCCAAAUGUCUUACUUGAUUAUUUUAAUCAAAAGACCUUACAUGAAUAAAAAAAAUGGAGAAAGCAGUUUACCGUAAAUGAAAUAUUCACAACACCUUACCUCUUUCUUUCCCCAUGCAAACCACUACCACUUUUCUCUCACGCUCUCCUUCUAUUGAUUCGGCCAAGAGGCCUCCCUCCCGAACAUUUCAUCUUCAAUCUCACUUCUAUACUCUCUCAACUCUCCAAAAAUUCUCUAGUUGAUUCAAGGCUUUUAACAAGUUAUUUUGCAAGUCUUUUGGUAAGUGUUCCUCUUAAUUUUCGAGAUUCACCACCAUCCAUCAUCAUCUUUUGGUUAUUUUUACUCAUAAUCUUGAAUCAAAAACCCUAGGCAAGAUCUUGAAGUUCAAGGAUAUGUUGUCUUCCAAAGCUUGAUUCCUACUUCAUAUUUCUUCCUAUUUCUUGCCAUCUUCUAGGGAAAGCACAAAAAGUGAGUUCAUACCCCUUACUUUCAUCUUUACCCGAGUUUUGGGGGGGGGGGGGGAUACAAGUAAACUUGGAUAAUUGUACUAUUUUUUAUACAUGCUUACUUUCAUGUUGUGUAAAAAUGUUUUCUACAUGAAAUAAUGUUAUUACCUAGUAUUAUGAAAAUUUAUGUGUGGUAUGUUGUUUAAAAUGCAAAUCUAUGAAAAAUGAGUAUAAAUAUGCUAUAUGUUCUUAAGAAAAAGUCAUAAAAACAAAACUUUAAAAACUUGGAUAAUUGUACAAUUUUUUAUACAUGCUUACUUUCAUGUUGUGUAAAAAUGUUAUCUACAUAAAAUAAUGUUAUUACCUAGUAUUAUGAAAAUUUAUGUGUGGUAUGUUGUUUAAAAUGCAAAUCUAUGAAAAAUGAGUAUAAACAUGCUAUAUGUUCUUAAGAAAAAAUUAUAAAAACAAAACUAUAAAAACUUGGGUUUUUAUGAACAUAAUAUGACUUUUUGUAGAAAAAAUGGUUAUAUCGAUCCAAGUNUUUUAGAUUUGUUAAAUAUGAUAUAUAUAUAUAUAUAUAUAUAUGUUAUUUUGGACAUAUGUUAUGAAACUAGUUAUAAAUAACAAGGAUUUGGUUUUACAAAAAGAAAACCUAAAAAUCCAUCAUUUUUAUGUAACAAUUAGGGUUUUCUAACAAAAAUGGUCAUAACCAGGGUAUGGUACCAUUUUUUUGAGAUUUUGACCUAAAAUAUGUUGUUUUAAACAAAUAAGGUUAACUUGACUUAAAUGUCACAAAAAGGUAAAAACAAAUUUUACAAAGUUUAUAAUUCAAUAUUUACCAUUUGGGGAUGUAAAGAAAGUCAAAAACUAGAAAACUGACUUUAUCAUACUAAAAGUUCAUAUACUUGUGUUAGAUGUAUAAUAAAUGUUAUUUAUAAACAUCUAAACAUAUUAACUUAUAUAUAUGUCUAUAUAUAGGUACAACGAAAUAUUUAUAAUAAACUAUAAUACGUAUUGUUUAUGGGUCAUUAACACUAUUAUAACAUUUUGGGACAAAACGAAUAAUUAUAUAAAAAUAUAUAAUUAUUAUACACUAUAUUAAUACUAUGGAAAAGUGAUAUUUACACAAAACAUAAACUUGUUGAAACAGUUAGGUGAGACAAAGUCUUCACUAUACCGACCAGAGUACACACUAAAGUCCUGAAUUAUAACCAAAAUCUCGGUAAGAGAGCGUGAUACUUGUGUAUAGAUUUAUACGAGACUGAUAGUCUCGCACCUAAGCUGCUAGCUAUAGCUAGACUGGUAGGUCUGGGGUCAUAAAUUUCUAACAUUCUAAUGUCUGAUGAACGUCGCAGUAGGCCAACUUCAGUUUUAGCAUGGUUGUAAUAACUCACAUGGGAAAUCAACGAUACAUUUAGUUUACGUGGUAACAUGAUUUUCAAAUGGUUUUAUAAAAAUAAAACUACGUAAUACUAUUUUAAGUAUAGAAAUACUUAUACAUUUUUUAUCUUAGAGUUUCUAAGACUAUAACUCAUAUUUAAGGAAAUAUUGGAUUUUCUGGGAACAAACAAAAUCAUUUUACAAGGAAAGAGUUACAGAUUUCUCACAUACAAAACUCUUAUGAACUCACCAACUUACUUGUUGACACUUUUCAAAACUACUUGUAUUCUCAGGAAACAGCUAAACAGAUAGUCACAUGGCUUUUGAGGAUGGGACGCUAUGACGUCGUACUAUUCAUUUUGUGAUCAUAAUGUAACUGGUUUUGGAAACAUACAACACUUGGAAACAGUGUAACAUUUUCAAUUAUAUUUAUGAUGGUUGUGUUUGCUUUGAUCACUAUUGUACAUUGUGUUCUGAUACUGUUCAUGAAGUCAUCUACUCUCAGACGUUUCCGCCAUCCUGGUUUGGGGUGUGACACUUUCGAUCACCUCACCGAAAACGAGCUCGAUAUGGAUUUGAGGGCUAGAGCAGACAUCAUGAAAAAAUAUUACAAGUAAACUUUUUAUUUAAAAGUUGUUUUAUGUUUUUUUUAUUUAAUUGUCGUUUUUCAGGAAUGUAAUUAUUUCAAUUAAAUUAAUGAAGUGUUUUUCUUUUCAUUAAAUUAUAUUUUAUUCAAUUUAUAAAAAAGUGUGAAAAAUAUGAUAUGACACCCACUAGUUUUGUGGAAUGAGAGAAAAAUGGUGUGACAUUACAAAAGGAUAGUAUGUGUGGUAUGACACCUACCAACCUUAUUAAAUGUGUUGAAGUAAAUUAAGUGAGACUUGAAUCUAUAUAUUUAUAGUUUAAGUUUACUAGAAGUAUGAUUUAUUGUUGUAACAUCAUUUUUUUAUAUAACUUAGGGAUAUGUGUGGAAAUAUUUAUCUGUUUAUAAAUUGUAAACUCAUAAUAGAUUGUGNNNNNNNNNNNNNNNNNNNNNNNNNNNNNNNUAUAUAUUGAACAACGGGGUUAUCAGUUAAUAGUUAGUAUCACGAAAUUAUCAACACCAAGAAUAAAACUCAAGACCUCCAAACUAUGAGGCAAAGCUUCUACAAGUGGGCUAGUCUCACAUUGAUAUUUAGAAUUACUAAUUAUGCAAAGAAUUCUUUUUAUAGUUAUCUUCCGAUAAAUGUUUGUCAAUGGUAAUUUCUUUAAAAGGCCGUCUUUAAAUUUUUUCAUAUUCACAUUAGUUUAAAUAAUUUUUUAGUCGUCUGCUUUUUAUUUGAGCUUUGUAGAUUCAUAUUCUUAUAUCCAUGUACAUAUUGUGAUUAAGGUAUUUUGUUUAUUUUUUUUUUGCUAUUUCGAUCGUAGACCAAAAGUAAACCCAUAUUUGGAGAAGUGUAAACGCAUAUUAAUACUUUUAUUAAUCAUUAUAUUCUUAAACAAUUAACUUUUGAUUCUUAGAGAAUGAAUUCUAAACCGUAAAGAAUUUAGAGUGGUUGAUGGUGGUGGUUUCCAAUGAUAAAGUCUUGAUGGUGGUGUUUCUAUGUAGAUAGAUAACAUGGAAUUUUAUUGCAAUAUCAACCAGCUGACGGGUUCUCUAUAUUCUUCUGGUAACCACUUUUCCCGAAUUGUAAUAAAGUCACUACGUUUACCAAAAUACGUAACUUGACACCGAGUUUCAAAUUGUGAGAAAAUCGCUAUAUUACCAGAAAACUUCGAUUUUCACACCGAGUUUUUUUCAAUUAUGACAUUAAAUUUACAAUUUUUUUGCAAUGUCAACCAAUUAACCUAUUCAUGAGAUGUUAUCGUGGUUUAGAAGCUCGAUUUGUACAAUAAAUAAAUGAAGGUCGAUCUAAUGGUUAAAACUCACUUACAAGUCAGAGAAAAGUGCAUAAUCACCCUUUUAGGAAAUGUUAUUGUGGUUUAGAAUUUCAAUUUGUAUAACAAGUAAAUGAAGACCCCUACACGGUCGAAUUAGUGGUUCAAACUCACUAAGCAUCUCUUGGAUUGACCUUGUAGGGGUCUUCAUUUACUUAUUGUACAAAUCGAGCUUCUAAACCACAACAACAUCUCCUGAAAAGGUGAGUACGCACUAUUCGCUGACAUUUAAGUGAGUUUAAACCAGUAGAUUGACCUUCAGACAUCAUUUGUGAAGAAAUACCCUGACGAUAACUAAACAUUAAACAUUAUAAUAAAAUGUGUCCUGUAAUGACCCCAAAAUAUAGAGUAAAAUUUUCAUUUUUAAAUAAGAUAAAAACCAUUAAUUUCAAUCCAUCAUAAGAUAAACAAAGUGUAAAAUGUAAUCUCAAUAAACACAAGAAUACAAAUUAAACUAGAUAGAUCGGAAUCUCUAGUAGAUGCAAUGCAAACAACUCGAGAUCUUCCAUUGCUACCCGAAAUACCUAAAACAUUUAAAUUUAAACCAUAAGCAUAAAGUCUAGUGAGUUUCCCAAGAUACCACAAACAAACAUACAUAAAACAGGUCUAUUUCAACCCAAUGACCUAUUUUAGCCAAACGGGUCUAUUUCAACCCAAUAGCGUAUUUCAACCAACAGGUUUGUUUCAACCCAACAUGUAUAUUUCAACCAAAUACAUAUCAUACUAGAACCCACAAGAGUUACAAAUAUAGAAGCAUAUAACGACACCAUGUGUCCUAUAAAAUAGUGAGAAGACUCACCUCACAAACAGUCAGAGAAUAAGCACAACUAGUAGUAACGAGAAAGUGUAACAUCCAGUUUUGGGAUGCAUCAGAUUUUGGGAUAGUGGGUCGUAAUUUGAUUAUGUAAAGGUCUUAGGCUUCAAGGGAAUGAAGUUUGGACCUUAUGGUAUGUUUAUGAUGUUGGUUAGGCGAUAUAAUCCCUUGAACUAUGGUUUAGAGCCAAAAGGGUAAAAAGAGGAAAAGUAAUAUUUUGGACUUUUUGUGUGUGUUAAAGAAUUAAGUUCAGUAUACAUUAAGCCAUAGGUAAUUAGAUAAAAUUGUGGGGUUCGUUAAUACAUUAUUUUUAUAUAAAUAUCACUAGAAACAGAGUUGAAACAAUAAAAGGUUAUAAUUGUUUGAAGUUGAAAUGGAAAUAAGGAAAAACCUAUGACCACGGCAUGGUGAGGAGUUCACUAUGGCAUGGUGAGUUGUGAAACUCAUGCCUAUUAAGUUAGGGUUUGCUUUGUACUUAAAGGCUCCAACCCUAUGUUUUUGAUCAUUUUGUAGCUUCAAUUGUAUCAAGAACCCCUCUUUUUAGCAAACCAUAGCCUCCAUUCAUAGAUGAAGCUCCUCCUCUCUCCUCCCAUCAACAUUCUUGAGUUUUUAUGGAUUUUGGGUAUAUAUUCUUCCAAGACUUGGUUUUAAAGCUUUGUACCCGAAGAGAUCAACAUUUAUCUACCUUUUAGACCCUUGCGAGUUGUAAAGACCCUUGAUUUAUUGUGUUUCGUCUCAUCAUUCGAUCUAUGAGUAUUUGGUGUUUUGGUCCAUUUUUAUGAUUUUUGGUCCCUUUUUAACUUGUUCGAUGGAGUUUAAAGAACUCCAUGAGUUUUGGUUGAUGUUUAAAGUUUAGAUCUAGUUAUUUGGUGGAGUAAAGAGUUUGUCCAACAAUUCUCCUUACUCCAUGAAUGAGGAAAGUGGAUUUUUGGACAUUUCCUAACUUAGGUUUUUAGAUCUUGGAAGUUGAUGGCAUUAUUAUGGAUAAAGUUGGAAACUUUAUCCAUCUAAACAUCAUGUUGAUUGUAACAUCCCAUUUUUCUAGUAGCUUCAAAUUCAUCCCUCCGAUUUUAAUUAGGGCAUUUUGGACCUUGGUUUAGAAGGGAGUGGCAAAAGGAGGCCUUAGUGGCAAAAUGGUAAUUUUGGGAGUUUAAGUAGUACGUUGGGCGUACAUGUGGUACGCUAAGCAUACCAGGGCAUGCCCUAGUAUGCUGGGCGUACGUAUGCUAGGAUGAAACCCUAACUUUUCGGGUUUGUGGAGUAUUUAAGAACCUUAUGGACCCUUCCUUUUCAUUUCUUUCAGCCUCCACACCUCCUUUAUCCGUCUUGAGAAAACUAUAGCUUCCUAGUGACCAUUCAUGAGCUUAUAAGUGUGUUCUUGUGCCUUUAAGAAGAAGCUUGUGCAUCAAGGAGUCAAGGAGGGAAGAUAGGCUUGUAGAUCUAGGUUCAUCAUCUGCUUUGGGAGCUCCAGAAGGUAUAAAGUUGUUACCUUUGUGCCUAUUUCUUCUAGAUCUAGUCAUUCUAGCUUUAUGGAACCAUUUCUUGUCCCCAAACCCCAUUUUGGUGUAUGUUGCAUUUUGGACAAGAUAAGUUGUCCUUUCAGACUAUUAUAGAGGUCUUAAGUAUUAAAAAUGAGGUCCUAAUGGCUUUAGAUGUCCCAUGCAUGUAGUAGAAAGGUCUUAAUGGAUUAAGACUUUGGAUUAAGAACUUUCUGGAUAUCCCAAGUGAUAAAGUUCGAGACUUUAUGGUUCCCAGACAGUUUUGGUCGAUGGAUCUAAAAUAUGGGCUUAAGGGAUUAAUCCAUUAAGCACUUAGGAGAGUUUUGGAUCAAUCGCAUGUACACCCCGCGUAAAUCCAGUAUGCCCAGCGUACUGGGUCAACCACCCUGAUGGUGGUCAACAUCGGGAGAGUACGCCCCACGUACUUCCUCUUUUGGGCUUUUGUCUUUUGGGCUUCGAGUUUUGGGUUGUGUUUGGACUAGCUCGACUUAGGCUUUGCUGGACUCUCUGAAUAAUUGGAUUUGGACCAAGUUUUGAUAAUGGAUCUUGAAUUUAGGCCCAAUUAGGGAGUUGGGCCCAAUUUGGUAAUUUGGGCCAAUAAUACGUUUUGUAUAUGUGGAUUUUUGGAUCAUGGAUUUGGUUUUGGGCCUUGGCCCAAGUUAGAGAAAAGACAAAAUGGACUAUACGGACCUUUAGUCAGGAUUGAUAGCCCAUAUGUUGAAUUGACAUUUGUUAUUUUGGAUAGUUCGGGAUUUUCCACGUGAUAGCACUUCGGGAGUUGGUACUUUAGUUCAGACCGACAUUGCGAGGUGAGUUAUCCUCACAAUAUCAAUAGGGUCAAAGGCACCAAUGCCGGCGCUUUAUCGGAGUUGUAUCCGGGUAAUUGCUUGAUAUGUGUAUUGACCUACUUGAUUUGCAUCCUGGUAGUUAGGAUGGUAUUAUAUUAGUGACCUGGUUUAGGUCGGUAUCCUGGUAUAUAGGAUGAUGGUAUGUUAGUGACCGGUUAGGUUGGUAUUGUUGGAUUAAUGUCUAAGUUCAUAACUAUAUUUGGUAUGUACUUGACCCGACCCGACAUGGUACAUAUGCGUUGCACUUCACAGGAACAAUUUAUAUGGAUAGUCUUUUGAGAAUACUAUAUUUAUGAUUUAUAUUAAUAUAUUAUAAGUUCUAAUAUAUUAAUAUGGAAUUAUAUUAUAUAUUUAGUAUUGAUCAAGAAUUAAUUUAGAAUUUAUUAAGUGAUCAAAAGGAACUAAUUAAAUAUGGACUAUUAUAUAUANNNNNNNNNNNNNNNNNNNNNNNNNNNNNUAUAUAUAUAUAUAUAUAUGGAAUGGGCCAAGUUCAUUUAGGUUGGGCUAAGAUUUUAUGGAUAGUCCAUGGAGCUUUUAACCCAUGGAUCCUAUGUAAAUGAAAGGUCAUGGGUAUUAGGGUUUACAUGGAGGUAACCCUAAUCCUCCAUAAUAUAUAAUGGGGUCAUUGGCUCACAAAGUUGGCACUAGUGUGUGAGGACAUAAGAGUAGGCUGAUUUCAUGUGUGCAUGAUAUUCUCUCAAAGUCUUCGAAUGUGUUUUGGUGAUUUGUUAUUCCACUUGAGGGUUCCACACUAUUGGGGCUAAACACUUAAAGUUCAAGACUUCAAGGUUCAUUAAAAGGUAUGUAUUCUAACUUGUUAUAUUACCGAAGUAUCAAGGAUUGUAUGCUAGAUAGAGUAAUACCUUGGAAUAUUCAUAUUUGCAUGUAUAAUAGAGAAAACAUAGAUCCAGGGUAUUUAGGGUUGCAUGUACACUUAGGAGUGUUAGAAUGCUCAAAACCCAACAGUGGUAUCAGAGCCUAGGCUUGUUUUCUUCUUGUACUUGAUUAAACUGAUUUAAAAUCAAAUUUUGGUGUUAUCUACACAGUAGAAUCACCGAUUCCACUGAUGGACACGCCGAGUCCACUGAUGGACUCGCCGAGUCCAAGGCAAAAAGCAUCCAACUCGUCGAGUUGGACCCCCAGACAGCAUAUAUUCGACUAUUUUGGCUGGAAUUGGACUAGGAAUAUUACCCUAAGCUGUUUUUGGACUUAUAAACUUAUUUUUGAUAUGGUAAUGUUCAUACUAAUCCAAUUUCAAUGAUAAUUGUCAAUAGAUUUUUUUGUAUUAGUGUAAUUGUUAUGCUAAUGACAUGAAUAAGUUUGAUUCCAGUUAUCCUUUUCAUGUGAGUUGCUUUGAUUAAUAGAAAAACGUUGAUUGAUUAUGUGUCUUUGAUCCAUUUUAAUCCAAGAAUUGAUUCUAAAAUGUGUUUGUGUAACUUGUCCUCAAGUUACAUGAAAAAUCACAUUAAAGUUUCUUAAAAUUUAUAAAAGUUGGCAAUGGUUACAAAAUGAAGAGUCUUGUCCUCAUUAAAUGGUUUUAUGAUUCCAUAACUUGUCCUCAAGUUAUGGAGGUUCAAGAGUCACUUCAUUAAAUCAUUAAAAUGUGCAACCUUAAUUAUUUCCAUAAGUUACAAAGAAGAAGAGUUGCAUUCUUUAAUAGUUUAAAGUCUUCCAUAACUUGUCCUCAAGUUAUGGAACUUGAAGAGUUUUUAAUUAAAACUACUUUAAACACAUACGUUAUGGAAUUAAUUAGUUUUAAAUAUUUUCAAAACUUGCCCUCAAGUUUUGGAAUUUGAAAAACGUUAUCUCUUAUGAAUACUUCAAUUCAAAGUUUAUCCCUUAGAAUUUUAAAAGUUAAAAUUCAACCCUUAUACUUUAUAAUAUUAUAAGUUAAUAAUAUAUAUAUGUAUAAGAGUAAAGUCAGUCUUACCGCUAGUACGCCUCAUUCACGAAGCCGGCUAUAAGGGGGGUAUAAGGUUACUGCCUAUAAAAUGGCAGUUUUACUGGGUGACCACUCUCACUCACCGCUUGCUUGACUGGUGGAGGGUCGUUAGCCAAACGGGUAGGACAAGGACUAUAAUUCUCCUUUCAUUAAAAGUAUUAAUGAGAAAUACUAAGUAACUAAACACUUAUUAAUUCCCAAUCUUAUUUACUUAGAAAACUGUGAAUAAGGUGCUAAUCCAUGAAAUUACACUUUGCACUUUGCUUAUGUCAGUUAGUAAAGCGUGUGUGGUUAACCGACAGACUUACUCAUAUUUAACAAGGUAGGAAACGGGUAACUUAAUGUUUAUCAUAGUAUCGAUGGAGUGUGGGUGGUUAACCGACACAUCGAUUGAGGGGUAAACACUUAAGGGUACCAAGUAAUUUGCAUGGUUACUUCACACCUUGUUUUGUGAUCCUCGGCAUCCCAGUCACAAAACCUGAAGGGCACACUCGAGAUUGAAACAUGCCAUUGAAAAGUUCAAUGAAUCUCAAAAGAACUAGGAGUUUCAAAACCAUUUAAAAUCUAAUAAUACAUUUCUUUUAUCUUGGUGGAAAUUGGUGAAUCGUCAUUCACCUACCUUCAAAUAUUUUAUAGCUUGGAUUACAGCAUCCCUCUUCCAAGUUAUAAAAUAGUCUAUUGGGUCCUAGCCUUAAUAUUUCAUAUUGGGUGUUAUAUUAAGGACUUAAAUCAACUUUACUUGAAUUUCUCCCAUUGUAGAUGUCUAGUUCAGACAUCUAAGAUCUUCUCAAAUAUCUUGGAACUUCACUUCCUCCACCUCCUCCAAUUAUUCUCCAUAACCCACAAGUUCAAGGUCACUCAAGCCCUAUUGGCAAGGCAAGGUCUAGGUGUGAUCACAUCUUGGAGAUGAAGUCACAUAUUGACAAGCCGGGAGAGUUGGGUGUCAAAGUCUUGAGAAUGUUGGUGGUUCAAUCACUUUCUA